GCAACUCAUGAUAUGCAGUCUCCAAGAUGAAAACAAAAGUGAGAAACAAAUACAUCAGAUGAUGCUAUGCAGUUAUGAAGGAAAAACGUGUGUUGCCAGGACCCCAACAUUUGUGCAGUGUUUGCUGUACAAGGAGGAAAAAUGGAAAGAAAGCAUGGCAUAAAAGGGGGAAAGAGACUCUGCAUGAGAAGCCCAGCUCAGCAGGCCAGAGGACCCUGGAUCUGUGAAAGUAAGCAUCCAGCCUUUGCAAAGCAGCAGGCAAACUUAGAGAUGCCCAACUUCAGAGUGAUGGCAGAGUGAGCCUGGGUCUGCAGGUCCCUAACUCUUUCCACUGCUCCACUGAGCCCCCCACCAUCCUUUAUGCCAGCACUGUGAAGAUUGUUCUUGCCUCCCCUGCUGUCAUUCAGUAACCUCUACAAUCUGGCCCCAGUAGAAAGAACUUGCCAACAACAUAUCAAUAGCAGAGAUGAAAGUCUGGUCAUAUGGUACCCACAUCUAUUGAAGUAGUCAUGCUGAUACCAGAUAUCCCUGGUUCUCUGUCUUUGAGGCACAUGGUAGAACUAUACUUUCUAGUUUUCUGUGUGGCUGGGUGGGUCAUAUGACAAGUUCAGACAAAUGAGUUAUGAUUAGAAACAUUUAAUCGUUAAUACAUAUUCUAGCACUCUUUCCUUCUGCCACCAUAACUGAUCAUGUUUCAGACAGUGACUUCUCCAUCAGGCUGGUUCCAGAGUGAAAAUAGAGCCUAAUAGAGUCUGUAGUUGAUACAAUAUGGACAUGCAGGGUGAAUGAGAAAAUGCUUUUGUUGGGUUAAGCACCUGAGGUUUGAUGGUUUGUUGCUCCUGCAGCACAACCUUACCUAUCCUAACUAAUAUGAUUAUCAUUGACUAACCUGACAACAGAAGAGUCUCUCUACUUCUACUGUGAUGAGGAACAGAGUUUUACCUAUUAUAUCUUAAUAGCAGCAGCCUCUGGAAGUAGUUAUAUCUCUACCACUUCUUACCCAUGUGGCAUAAAGCCAGCUAUAAACCUCUCCAGGUUUCAGUUUUCCCUUUUAAAAGUAGGAGUAAGUAAGACCUUUCUCAUGGAGUUGUUGAUCAAAUGAAAUAAUUAAAUAACGAGUAUUUAAAUUUUGAAUUUUAAUGACAAUUCAAAUGAAAUAAUGUCUAUGAAGUAUUUAUUUAGUCCAUAAUAUCCUCAGUAAAUGGUAGUUAGUCUUACUAACACAAAAGAAAUUGACAAAGCCAUGCCAUGCUCAAUACGGUUUCUAGAACCAUAUUAUCUCUAAAAAUCCCAACUUUCCGCUGUAAGUUUGAGCUAAAGAUUAGUAGAAAAUUUGGCAGAACAGGCUAAUCAAUUCCAAUGGUCUAUUCUUCUUGUUAAGUUUAGCUAUCAGUCAUCUUUUGAUGAAAACAAAGCCAGCCUAGCUGUUUGUAAGCAAGCCUCUACAAAGACAGAAACUGUCUUAUAUUUCUUUGAAUAUCUCCUAUGGCCUCUCACAUACGCCUUGGCUAUAUUUCUGGAUCUUUAUUUAAUUGUUUUGAACGCUUCUUAUGUUUAACUUCUGCCAUCUCCAUUAGGAAAACAACAUAAUCUUUCCUUCAGUGCUGUUGGCAUAAGCCCCCAUGACCAGGCAACAUUUGCCCCAUGUUUAAAGAAUGCAGUUGUGUAAGGUUGGUUGACCAUCUGACAGGAAUUCCUGCACUGAGUGGUCAGUCAGUGGAGAUCUCUUUCCACUGGUAACUUUAUCAAGAAAGCUAGAUCCAAGACUGUAUAUCAGGUAUAUUUUCAUGUGUGAAAUCAAGGGAUAGAAAAUAACUGGAAGGAAAUAUUCCAAAACAUUAGCAGUUGUUUCUCCCGGAAAGUGUGAUGUAUACAGUUGGAUGGGUGAUAUGUAUAGUACUUUCCAUAGUCCUGGUCAAGAGAUAUUUUGGAGGGCUCCACAUACCACAGUCACCCACAAAUAAAUAUAAUAAAGAACACACAGAUGCCUUUAUCACUCAGGAUGUGGCACCCAGAGCUGGCCCAGCAUAGUCUAUAAUACUUAACAUCGCUCUCAUGACCACACUCUUCAGGUGCCAGGGAAAUGAACCUCUAUAUCACUUCCCUGUAUCCUUAAAAGAAAAGGCGGCCUAAUUUGAAAGCUGAUAAAAAUCAGGAAUUAUGAUGAUGUUGCUUUAGAAUAUUUGGAGGAUGUAAGAGAAAAAGAGUGCUGGGUUAUGAGAAUAACCAAACUUAUCAAAUUCCUCCCUAAAGGUAACAUAAAUACAAUAGAUGCUUUUACAACAAAGUGUCAUUUCUCAAUAAUGCCAAGAAUCCUUUUUCACGCUUCUUUUCUUGUUCAAAUUCCUGGUUCCCAUGCUACUCCAUUAGCAUAAUAUUCAGAAAAGUUGCAGGUGGUGAUUUAGGAACAUUUUGUAAUAUUAGCAUUUCAUAUUACCCUUAAAUUUGCAUGCAUGUAUCAUAUGUGUAUCAUGGUACCAAUUCUUUAUAUUGGUAACUAGGUGGGCAUAGAAUGUUUACAAUGUGAAUAAUGUUAUCUCUAUAAAAAUAACAUUUAUUUAAAAUGUUAAUAUAUGAAAUAAAAUUUUGGCAUAUAUUAACUAUAACUUGUAUUAUACCUUUUAAAGUUAAUAGAUUAUUUUGAAUAUUUUAAAAGACUUUUAGAAACAUAUAAAAU